ACGAACGCUGGCGGCGUGCUUAACACAUGCCAGUCGAACGGAAAGGCCCUGCUUUUGUGGGGUGCUCGAGUGGCGAACGGGUGAGUAACACGUGAGUAACCUGCCCUUGACUUUGGGAUAACUUCAGGAAACUGGGGCUAAUACCGGAUAGGAGCUCCUGCUGCAUGGUGGGGGUUGGAAAGUUUCGGCGGUUGGGGGUGGACUCGCGGCUUAUCAGCUUGUUGGUGGGGUAGUGGCUUACCAAGGCUUUGACGGGUAGCCGGCCUGAGAGGGUGACCGGCCACAUUGGGACUGAGAUACGGCCCAGACUCCUACGGGAGGCAGCAGUGGGGAAUAUUGCACAAUGGGCGGAAGCCUGAUGCAGCAACGCCGCGUGCGGGAUGACGGCCUUCGGGUUGUAAACCGCUUUCGCCUGUGACGAAGCGUGAGUGACGGUAAUGGGUAAAGAAGCACCGGCUAACUACGUG
rnacentral:rRNA from 1 species